rnacentral:tRNA from 1 species
GGGCCCGGAAUGGUUCGCGGCCUGGUUUGACAUCAGAGCUUCCGGGGUUCGAUUCCCCGCGGGUCCA